GACGAACGCUGGCGGCGCGCCUAACACAUGCAAGUCGAACGAGCGAGAGAGAGCUUGCUUUCUCGAGCGAGUGGCGAACGGGUGAGUAACGCGUGAGGAACCUGCCUCAAAGAGGGGGACAACAGUUGGAAACGACUGCUAAUACCGCAUAAGCCCACGGCUCGGCAUCGAGCAGAGGGAAAAGGAGCAAUCCGCUUUGAGAUGGUCUCGCGUCCGAUUAGCUAGUUGGUGAGGUAAUGGCCCACCAAGGCGACGAUCGGUAGCCGGACUGAGAGGUUGAACGGCCACAUUGGGACUGAGACACGGCCCAGACUCCUACGGGAGGCAGCAGUGGGGAAUAUUGCACAAUGGGGGAAACCCUGAUGCAGCGACGCCGCGUGGAGGAAGAAGGUCUUCGGAUUGUAAACUCCUGUUGUUGAGGAAGAUAAUGACGGUACUCAACAAGAAAGUGACGGCUAACUACGUGCCAGCAGCCGCGGUAAAACGUAGGUCACAAGCGUUGUCCGGAAUUACUGGGUGUAAAGGGAGCGCAGGCGGGAAGACAAGUUGGAAGUGAAAUCCAUGGGCUCAACCCAUGAACUGCUUUCAAAACUGUUUUUCUUGAGUAGUGCAGAGGUAGGCGGAAUUCCCGGUGUAGCGGUGGAAUGCGUAGAUAUCGGGAGGAACACCAGUGGCGAAGGCGGCCUACUGGGCACCAACUGACGCUGAGGCUCGAAAGUGUGGGUAGCAAACAGGAUUAGAUACCCUGGUAGUCCACACUGUAAACGAUGAUUACUAGGUGUUGGAGGAUUGACCCCUUCAGUGCCGCAGUUAACACAAUAAGUAAUCCACCUGGGGAGUACGACCGCAAGGUUGAAACUCAAAGGAAUUGACGGGGGCCCGCACAAGCAGUGGAGUAUGUGGUUUAAUUCGACGCAACGCGAAGAACCUUACCAAGUCUUGACAUCCCUUGACGAUGCUGGAAACAGUAUUUCUCUUCGGAGCAAGGAGACAGGUGGUGCAUGGUUGUCGUCAGCUCGUGUCGUGAGAUGUUGGGUUAAGUCCCGCAACGAGCGCAACCCUUAUGGUCAGUUACUACGCAAGAGGACUCUGGCCAGACUGCCGUUGACAAAACGGAGGAAGGUGGGGAUGACGUCAAAUCAUCAUGCCCUUUAUGACUUGGGCUACACACGUACUACAAUGGCGUUAAACAAAGAGAAGCAAGACCGCGAGGUGGAGCAAAACUCAGAAACAACGUCCCAGUUCGGACUGCAGGCUGCAACUCGCCUGCACGAAGUCGGAAUUGCUAGUAAUCGCAGAUCAGCAUGCUGCGGUGAAUACGUUCCCGGGCCU
rnacentral:rRNA from 1 species